UCCAGCAACCUUAUCACCCUGCAACUCACAACUGGCAACCCACUGAAGCUCAGCAGGUGUGAGCCUGGUCAGUACCUGGAUAGGAGAACACCUGGGAAAAACUAAGGUUGCUGCUGGAA
rnacentral:rRNA from 1 species